AAGUCGAACGCUUCUUUCCUCCCGAGUGCUUGCACUCAAUUGGAAAGAGGAGUGGCGGACGGGUGAGUAACACGUGGGUAACCUACCCAUCAGAGGGGGAUAACACUUGGAAACAGGUGCUAAUACCGCAUAACAGUUUAUGCCGCAUGGCAUAAGAGUGAAAGGCGCUUUCGGGUGUCGCUGAUGGAUGGACCCGCGGUGCAUUAGCUAGUUGGUGAGGUAACGGCUCACCAAGGCCACGAUGCAUAGCCGACCUGAGAGGGUGAUCGGCCACACUGGGACUGAGACACGGCCCAGACUCCUACGGGAGGCAGCAGUAGGGAAUCUUCGGCAAUGGACGAAAGUCUGACCGAGCAACGCCGCGUGAGUGAAGAAGGUUUUCGGAUCGUAAAACUCUGUUGUUAGAGAAGAACAAGGACGUUAGUAACUGAACGUCCCCUGACGGUAUCUAACCAGAAAGCCACGGCUAACUACGUGCCAGCAGCCGCGGUAAUACGUAGGUGGCAAGCGUUGUCCGGAUUUAUUGGGCGUAAAGCGAGCGCAGGCGGUUUCUUAAGUCUGAUGUGAAAGCCCCCGGCUCAACCGGGGAGGGUCAUUGGAAACUGGGAGACUUGAGUGCAGAAGAGGAGAGUGGAAUUCCAUGUGUAGCGGUGAAAUGCGUAGAUAUAUGGAGGAACACCAGUGGCGAAGGCGGUCUCUGGUCUGUAACUGACGCUGA
rnacentral:rRNA from 1 species